UUACAGAGAUAUUGCACGGAUGUGUCGGCCCGAAUAACGAAAAAUUGAUCGGAAAGCCUAAAAUCCUUAUUCUCAUCGAUCAGAAGGCAACAAUUCAACAUGAUAAUGCACCUUCAAACUGCCAUGACUUCAGAAUCUCAGCCACAAAUCACAGCGGUUGGCUCAUCCUCCAUUUAAAAGACAAAGAGAAAGUGCAUGAGCUGAUUCAGAUCUUGAAAAGCGAUCAAUUAAAAAUUGGGAGAAGCUUGCAAGAGGUGCUAGCAAAUCUCCUAAUUUCUAAAGGAACAAGAAACAAGGAAUUCCUGAAUUCAACCCUGCAGUUUCUCCUCGACUUUCCGGACUGGCCGAGAUUAUUCGUCAGGCCGAACUUUUCACUGAUAAGGAAUGAACAAGGUCCUGUAAAUAACACGAUCAAUUUCACCGAGUUGUUUGAGAGGGCCAAAACACUGGCAAAGGAAAGUCAAGUUUGGCUUUUGAGUUCAAUCGCAGGCACGGGAAAAACGACCGUGCUCAGGGAAAUCGCGUUCCAUUUAGGAAAAUCUGACCCCAACGUGAAAAUAUUACGUGUGUUGCUGUCGAAAAACUCGCUUUAUUUCGCCAAGAAUAAUAUUGUGAACGAGAUCAAAUAUCUCGCAGAGACAACUAAGAAUUCGGCUGAAGAAAUCACCAAUUGGAUUGUACAGAAAAAGGUCGUCAUUUUCCUCGACGGAUUUGAUGAAAUCUGCCCUGUCCACCGAGAUAAAGUUAUGACUCUUGUAAAGGCUUUGAGGGAGAAGGAUAUUUCGCUUUGGAUCGCAACGAGA